GACGAACGCUGGCGGCGUGCCUAAUACAUGCAAGUAGAACGCAGUUGCGAACGGGUGAGUAACGCGUAGGUAACUGCCUCCUAGCGGGGGAUAACUAUUGGAAACGAUAGCUAAUACCGCAUACUGUGAGAUGGACCCGCGUUGUAUUAGCUGGUUGGUGUGGUAAAGGCUCACCAAGGCGACGAUACAUAGCCGACCUGAGAGGGGUAUCGGCCACACUGGGACUGAGACACGGCCCAGACUCCCACGGGAGGCAGCAGUGGGGAAUCUGCGGCAAUGGACCGAAGGCUGACCAAGCAACGCCGCGUGGGUGAGGAAGGUUUUCGGGUUGUAAAGCUCUGUUGCUAUAGAAGCGGUAACUGAACAGAAAGGGACGGCUAACUACGUGCCAGCAGCCGCGGUAAUUC
rnacentral:rRNA from 1 species